GAAGCUACUUGUGAUACUCUUGUGUUUCUGAUCUGUGAAACAGGCACAUUGAUAGCUUCCUGUGGGGUGGUUGUGGGGACAGAUGAAGUGGAAAGUAGAAGUGUGGUAAUGCCCAGGGUAGAAACAGGCUUUAGCUCGUUCGUUCUCUCUCUAUAUAAACACACACACACAAGCUUUGCCUCAGAAUUAGGAAAAUUGACUUGAGAUGGUCCUUGGUACUUGAAUAUUUGAAACAGGGGCUAUAGUUUAUGGUAGGUGUUAAGAGAAGGUAGUAUAGGUUCUUAAUUGUAAAUGUUGUCUACUCAAACAUUAACUCUUUCUAUGUACCAGGCUUUAGUCCUUUGCAUUGAGCGACUCACUGUAUAGUAGUGAACCGACUAAGGAAACAGUCAUGUCUGAGUUGGUAUGGGUGCUCUUAGAGAUGGUGGCUGCAGUCCGAGGAGGCCUAAACCACUCAGAGGUAGAAAACACUGCCUGCUGUCAUCAGGGGCCUCAAACAGGUUAGAGCAGGAAGGGUGGAGGAGUAGAAAUGGAUUUCUUAGGUAGAAACUCAGACCUGAUUGUGGAAGACUGGCUGUUGCACUGAGGGUAAUGGAUUUCCUAAUAAGGGUAAAUUAGGUAAUAAUUUGUUACAUGGAAGAAAGUCACAUGUGCCUGUUUGUAUUAUAAAAAUAUUAUGGAUUAAAUUUGAGUGCAGUACAUAAAUGUAAUCUUUUAUAUUGUGAAUUUCUUAGGCUAUGUCACACUAGUGGUAUACUUCCUUUUGAUUCUUAAAAUUCUGAAAGGUGUUCAUGAAUCCAAACAAAAAUAAGCCAACCCUCACCACAAUCAACAACAGCAACAAAAAUCCUUUAUCAGCAGAACUGGCCUUUAUAGCAACCUGGAAAUUGUUCUUCACUAAGAAGCUAAAGUUCUCUAUUCUUCUGCUCCUCUUACUACGGUCUAUAUAUGCUUUAGGCUUGGGUCCAGUCAGAAAAAUCUGUAGCCUUCUGAUACGACAUACCUGCUCACCUUUGGCAUAGGUGUGGUAUCCAGGAAGAUCUGUGUGUUGAGGUACCAUAUUUAUACCCAGGCAGCCUCAUGCCAUGGCUGCAUGUGGGGUUGGAAGCCCUAGUCUGUGUCAGAAGACAUUCUAAGUAACACUCUGAAACACAAACAUGCUGCUUUCCUGAGAGUCUAUUGGUGACAUGCAAAUCCCAGUGCUUCUCCAUGUAAGAGCAAUAAAAAUACUUAAGUAGAAAGAAAGAGGGGUUAGAUUUACUUACUGGUAUGCACUUAAAGGCUUCCUACCUUUGUUUUGUCACACAAGGUUAUUACCUCAUUUCUACAUAUAUAGAUAAUUUCUGAGAAAGAAAAGUACAUUUUUGUUUUAUGCAGUGAUUGAUGUAUUCUGCUCGGGCUAACUAAAGAACAAAGGUUCAUAUACCAAAGGAGAAUAGACAUAAUUAAGUGUAUUUGAUUUUAUUUAUUUUUAGCUCCACUUAAAAUUAAUAAAUGAGUUAUUGUUAGCACAGUGUUAAGGAUAUUUUGCUACAAAAAUUAUCCUUCACAGCGAACCUGUCUUUUCUUAUUCUGUGUAUCAUCCCUUGUUGGAAAAUGUCUUUAGAGGGUAAAGAUUUUUAGUGACUUAGAUUAAAUGUGAAGACACUCUCUGUUACAGAGUUCUUACCAUAAUCUUAUUGUUCUGAAAGAGAGUUAUCUAAAAGACAACCAAGAAAUUAAAAGUACUCAGUAUCAUUUAGCCUAGUUAAAGCACCAGGUUCUAACAUGGCUACAUUACUUAGUUGUAGCCAGGCGCUGGUGGCU